rnacentral:rRNA from 1 species
AUUGAACGCUGGCGGCAUGCCUAACACAUGCAAGUCGAACGGCAGCACGGCAGUAGCAAUACUGUGGGUGGCGAGUGGCGGACGGGUGAGGAAUACGUCGGAAUCUGCCCAGUCGUGGGGGAUAACUAGCCGAAAGGUUAGCUAAUACCGCAUACGACCGAGAGGUGAAAGCGGGGGACCGCAAGGCCUCGCGCGAUUGGAUGAGCCGACGUCGGAUUAGCUAGUUGGUGGGGUAAAGGCCCACCAAGGCGACGAUCCGUAGCUGGUCUGAGAGGAUGAUCAGCCACACUGGAACUGAGACACGGUCCAGACUCCUACGGGAGGCAGCAGUGGGGAAUAUUGGACAAUGGGCGCAAGCCUGAUCCAGCAAUGCCGCGUGUGUGAAGAAGG